ensembl:misc_RNA 7SK 7SK RNA
GGAUGUGAGAGCAGUCUGGCUGCAGUAUCUAUCACCCCAUUGAUUGACAGGGUUGAUUUAGCUGAUCUGCCUUCCUAGUUGGUUGUCCCCUUCCUCUCUCAAGGCUCAAUGUGCGUCCUUCCCGAAGCUGUGUGCUCUUCCGGUCAAAGAGAACGAACUUCCCCAAUAGAGGAGGACUGGUCUUUGGUCAAGGGAAUACAAGUAGCUGUGUUCCCCUGCUAGAACCUCCAAACAAGCUCUCAAGAAUACAAGGGAGUCAGUAGGUAAACACCUGCUUUAAAAUUGAAGUAAUUACUUGUAAAAAUUAAUAAUUCAUUAUUGCUA